UACGUAGGGGGCAAGCGUUGUCCGGAUUUAUUGGGCGUAAAGAGCGUGUAGGCGGUUAUGCAGGUCCGCUGUGAAAACUGGAGGCUUAACCUCCAGACGUCGGUGGAAACCGUAUGACUAGAGUCCGGAAGAGGAGAGUGGAAUUCCUGGUGUAGCGGUGAAGUGCGCAGAUAUCAGGAAGAACACCCGUGGCGAAGGCGGCGCUCUGGACCGAGACUGACGCUGAGGCGCGAAAGCGUGGGGAGCAAACAGG
rnacentral:rRNA from 1 species